GCCACCAUAAUCCUCAGGUGACUGCGUCC
rnacentral:piRNA from 1 species